UCCGGGUUGGACCCGGCGGUCCCGCCAGACAGGGUAACUGGCAGCGGGGGUUGCGCUCGUUGCGGGACUUAACCCAACACCUCACGGCACGAGCUGACGACAGCCAUGCAGCACCUGUGCAGUAGUCCCGAAGGAAGGAUCCGUUUCUGGAUCUGUCUACUGCAUGUCAAGCCUGGGUAAGGUUCUUCGCGUUGCAUCGAAUUAAACCACAUGCUCCACUGCUUGUGCGGGUCCCCGUCAAUUCUUUUGAGUUUCAGCCUUGCGACUGUACUUCCCAGGCGGUAUACUUAACGCGUUAGCUACGGCACAACCAGGGUUGAGUCCGGUUACACCAAGUAUACAUCGUUUACGGCAAGGACUAC
rnacentral:misc_RNA from 1 species